rnacentral:rRNA from 1 species
GGGUUGUGAGGUUAAGCGACUAAGCGUACACGGUGGAUGCCCUGGCAGUCAGAGGCGAUGAAGGACGUGCUAAUCUGCGAUAAGCGCCGGUAAGGUGAUAUGAACCGUUAUAACCGGCGAUUUCCGAAUGGGGAAACCCAGUGUGAUUCGUCACACUAUCAUUAACUGAAUCCAUAGGUUAAUGAGGCGAACCGGGGGAACUGAAACAUCUAAGUACCCCGAGGAAAAGAAAUCAACCGAGAUUCCCCCAGUAGCGGCGAGCGAACGGGGAGGAGCCCAGAGCCUGAAUCAGCAUGUGUGUUAGUGGAAGCGUCUGGAAAGGCGCGCGAUACAGGGUGACAGCCCCGUACACAAAAGCGCAUGUGCUGUGAGCUCGAUGAGUAGGGCGGGACACGUGGUAUCCUGUCUGAAUAUGGGGGGACCAUC